UACGUAGGGAGCGAGCGUUGUCCGGAUUCAUUGGGCGUAAAGAGCUCGUAGGCGGCUUGGCAAGUCGGGUGUGAAAACUCCAGGCUCAACCUGGAGACGCCACCCGAUACUGCCAUGGCUAGAGUCCGGUAGGGGACCACGGAAUUCCUGGUGUAGCGGUGAAAUGCGCAGAUAUCAGGAGGAACACCGAUGGCGAAGGCAGCUCUCUGGGGUCCCCUACCC
rnacentral:rRNA from 1 species